rnacentral:misc_RNA from 1 species
AAAAUUUCCAAGGCGUUGUUUAUUUAUUUAUAGGCUUUUAACAUUACAAAACAAUCAUUAACACAGACAAAUAUAAACAAGGAAUUAAAUGAGGCCAUUUUGUUUGCUGCAUCAAUCCUUUUCACAAAAACAACAGAAGCAAAGGCAUGUUCUAUCCCAAUGCCCUUAUUCCAGAAACUGCUCUUAAUCACGUGCCUAAAGAGACAUUACAUGAGAAACAACAAAAAUGGUUUACAUCUCCCUAUCUGAAAUCGAUAUGAAAUUUGGGAUGUCAAUGUUAAUCACUCUUAUAUUGCUGCGAAGUACUCCUUGCUCAGCUUGGGGUCAGGCUUCAUGGACUUCUCUCCAGGCUUCCAUCCUGCUGGGCAAACUUCAUCUGGAUUUUCUUGAACAUAUUGCAAUGCCUGGAGUGUUCUCAAUGUCUCAUCAACACUUCGCCCAAUAGCAAGAUUGUUAAUGGUGGAGUGUUGGAUUACUCCUUCUUUGUCAAUAAUGAAAAGUCCUCUCAAAGCAAUUCCCUGAUCAGGGAUUAGCACCCCAUAAGAUUUUGAAAUUGAUUUAGUGACAUCAGAUAUCAAGGGAUACUUCAAAUCUCCCAGACCGCCUGACUUUCUAUCAGUUUGAACCCAUGCAAGGUGGGAGAACACACUGUCGAUAGAAACACCCAAUAUUUCAGUGUUUAGCUUCUCAAACUCUGCAUAGCGGUCACUGAAAGCAGUGAUCUCUGUGGGGCAAACAAAUGUGAAGUCCAAUGGAUAGAAAAAGAGAAUCACAUAUUUCUUCCCAAUAUAUUCUGAGAGUUUAACCUUAAUGAACUCCUGAUCAAAAACAGCCUCUGCCUCGAAAUCUGGUGCUGUAUUUCCAACCAGUGGAAGCUCACCACUGGCCUUGACAACGAAGCUCUUCCUGGAAUAAGAGCCACGAUUCAAUGAGAUGGAUCGAGAGGCGCGAGAUUGGAGAGGCUUACGGUGGCCAAAGAAGGAACUGGGGAGAGGUAGGUGAGAGGGUUUUGAGAUGGGAGAAACCAUGGAUUUGGUGGUGGCGGCUAUUGAGGAGAUGAGACAGGUGGUUGAAGUAGCUGAACAAGCCAUUUCUUCUUCUUUUGAUGGAAGAGACGAAGCGGAGACCACUAGUAAGCACUAACACUCUCACUUCAAAGACGGAGAACUGAUUGGUGAAGACAAAA